GAUGAAUGCUGGCGGCGUGCCUAACACAUGCAAGUCGAGCGGUAACAGAUCUAGCUUGCUAGAUGCUGACGAGCGGCGGACGGCUGAGUAACGCGUGGGAACAUACCCCAAAGUGAGGGAUAACCGCCCGAAAGGGUGGCUAAUACCGCAUAUGGUCUUCGGAUUAAAGGAUUUAUCCGCUUUGGGAAUGGCCUGCGUACGAUUAGAUAGUUGGUGGGGUAAUGGCCUACCAAGUCUACGAUCGUUAACUGGUUUGAGAGGAUGAUCAGUCAGACUGGAACUGAGACACGGUCCAGACUCCUACGGGAGGCAGCAGUGAGGAAUCUUCCACAAUGGGCGAAAGCCUGAUGGAGCAACGCCGCGUGCAGGAUGAAGGCCUUCGGGUUGUAAACUGCUUUUAUAGGUGAAGAAUAUGACGGUAACUUAUGAAUAAGCACCGGCUAACUACGUGCCAGCCGCCGCCGUA
rnacentral:rRNA from 1 species